rnacentral:rRNA from 1 species
CCUACGGGUGGCAGCAGUGGGGAAUAUUGGACAAUGGGGGGAACCCUGAUCCAGCGACGCCGCGUGAGUGAAGAAGUAUUUCGGUAUGUAAAGCUCUAUCAGCAGGGAAGAAAAUGACGGUACCUGACUAAGAAGCCCCGGCUAACUACGUGCCAGCAGCCGCGGGAAUACGUAGGGGGCAAGCGUUAUCCGGAUUUACGGGGUGUAAGGGGAGCGUAGACGGCAGCGCAAGUCUGGAGUGAAAUCCCAUGGCUUAACCAUGGAACGGCGUGGGAAACUGUGCAGCUGGAGUGCAGGAGAGGUAAGCGGAAGUCCUAGUGUAGCGGUGAAAUGCGUAGAUAUUAGGAGGAACACCAGUGGCGAAGGCGGCUUACUGGACUGUAACUGACGUUGAGGCUCGAAAGCGUGGGGAGCAAAUAGGAUUAGAUACCCCAGUAGUC